UACGGGGGGGGGCAAGCGUUGUUCGGAAUUACUGGGCGUAAAGGGCUCGUAGGCGGCCAACUAAGUCAGACGUGAAAUCCCUCAGCUUAACUGGGGGAACUGCGUCUGAUACUGGAUGGCUUGAGUUUGGGAGAGGGAUGCGGAAUUCCAGGUGUAGCGGUGAAAUGCGUAGAUAUCUGGAGGAACACCGGUGGCGAAGGCGGCAUCCUGGACCAACACUGACACUGAGGAGCGAAAGCCAGGGGAGCAAACGGG
rnacentral:rRNA from 1 species